rnacentral:lncRNA from 1 species
GACACAAUUAUGGAGGCUGAGAAGUCCCAUGAUCUGCUGUGUGCAAGCUGGAGACCCAGGAAAGCUGGUGGUGUCAUUCAGUCUUGGUCUGAAGAUCUGAGAGCCAGGGAAGCUGACGGUGUUACUCUCAAUCUGAGGUCAAAGGCCUGAGAACCAGCGGUCUCAGUAAUGUCCACAGAAACCCAACUGUCGCAGAAACCUGAGUGGUAAAGUGUCAGCAGCAGGAGUUCUGAAUAACAUUUCAGGGGCAGAAAAACCGCACUGGCCUUUCCUUCAAUGAAUGACAACUGGGAAAAGUUAAAAACUCAAAGGCCAAAUAUUAUGUCAAACCAGUAAUGGAGGUACAGAAAACAUCAGAAAAAUAGAAUAUCAGAAGUCAAAGAGGGAUUUAUCUUUCCUAGUUCUAUUCUCUACUGGAUGGAUAAUCUUAUUCCCUGGGGGUUGCUGGAAGAAGAGAGGUGAGUCUUACUUUUUUAU